rnacentral:rRNA from 1 species
ACUCAAAUGAAUAGACGGGGGCCCGCACAAGCAGCGGAGCGUGUGGUUUAAUUCGAGGGUACACGAAGAACCUUACCUGGGUUUGACAUGGAUGUGGUACGCAAGGGAAACUGCGCGGACUCUUCGGAGAGCGUUCACAGGUGCUGCAUGGUUGUCGUCAGCUCGUGCCGUGAGGUGUUCGGUUAAGUCCGCAAACGAGCGCAACCCUCGGCGUUAGUUACAAGUGUCUAACGCGACUGCCCGUGGCAAACGGGAGGAAGGUGGGGAUGAUGUCAAAUCAGCAUGGCCUUUAUAUCCAGGGCUACACACACGCUACAAUGGCGCGUACAGUGGGUCGCGAAGCCGCGAGGUGGAGCCAAUCCUAAAAAGCGCGUCACAGUUCGGAUUGUAGGCUGCAACUCGCCUGCAUGAAGUCGGAGUUGCUAGUAACCGCGUAUCAGCAUGGCGCGGUGAAUACGUUCCCGGGCCUUGCACACACCGCCCGU